rnacentral:rRNA from 1 species
AUGAACGCUAGCGGCAGGCUUAAUACAUGCAAGUCAAGGGGUAGCAAUACACCGGCGGGCGGGUGCGUAACGCGUACACAACAUACCCUUAAGCGGGGGAUAGCAUUGGGAAACUGAUGGUAAUACCCCAUGGUGUUGGAUCAUGGCAUCAUGAUUCAACUAAAGGUUACACUUAAGGAUUGGUGUGCGUAUGAUUAGCUAGUUGGUAGGGUAACGGCCUACCAAGGCGAUGAUCAUUAGGGGGUGUGAGAGCAUGACCCCCCACACGGGUACUGAGACACGGACCCGACUCCUACGGGAGGCAGCAGUAAGGAAUAUUGGACAAUGGUCGGAAGACUGAUCCAGCCAUGCCGCGUGAAGGACGAAGGCGCUCUGCGUUGUAAACUUCUUUUGGACAGGAACAAAAAGUCGGAUGCGUCCGGCCCUGAGGGUACUGUCAGAAUAAGCACCGGCUAACUCCGU